UACGUAGGGUGCAGGCGUUAAUCGGAAUUACUGGGCGUAAAGCGUGCGCAGGCGGUUUGCUAAGACAGGUGUGAAAUCCCCGGGCUUAACCUGGGAACUGCGCUUGUAACUGGCAAGCUAGAGUGUGGCAGGGGGGGGUGGAAUUCCAGGUGUAGCAGUGAAAUGCGUAGAGAUCUGGAGGAACACCGAUGGCGAAGGCAGCCCCCUGGGCUAACACUGACGCUCAUGCACGAAAGCGUGGGGAGCAAACAGG
rnacentral:rRNA from 1 species